rnacentral:rRNA from 1 species
CCCUUAGAUGUUCUGGGCCGCACGCGCGCUACACUGAUGCAUUCAACGAGUCUAAAACCUGCUCUGAUAGGGGUGGGUAAUCUUUUGAAUGUGCAUCGUGAUUGGGAAAGAUGAUUGAAAUUUUUCAUCUUCAACGAGGAAUGCCUAGUAAACGCAAGUCAUCAGCUUGCAUUGAUUACGUCCCUGCCCUUUGUACACACCGCCCGUCGCUCCUACCGAUUGAAUGAUCCGAUGAAUAUCAUGGAUUGAGGAUGCAAGUAGGUUCACCUAUCUUCAUCUUCGAGAAGUGAAGUAAAUCUUAUCAUUUAGAGGAAGGAGAAGUCGUAACA